GCCGGAUGAGGCGGCGGAGAAGAAUGCGGCGGUGGGCCCGGGCAGCGGUGGACCAGGCCGGAGCCACGGGCGGCGGUGGGUGGCGGGCCCGGCCGGAGCCGCGGGCGGCGGUAUGGUGAAUGCACAGCCCUUUCAGGCAUGCAGGUCAAAAUAAACCGGGGGACAGUAGCUGCCCAUUGUAUCACAAUGCACUUCGAGGUAUCAGAACAAAUAACCUAUGGAAAAACUAAAUGAGUGCCGCAGCAUUAAAAUCUGCAUAAAGGUUGACAUUCGAAUCCAUGUUUUAUACCACUUCAACUGUCUGGCUUCCUUCAAAUAAUCUGGAGGAUCAGAAGAAUUCUCUGUACUUUGAGGCAGUUUCUUCCCUUUGAAAUUGUUUACAGUCUGGAAGUACAAGGAGACUUUGUUUCCCAGCUUCCUGUGGCAGGAUUCAUUCGCUCUGGCCUCUUCCCAAGGAUCCCUAUAGCACUUCAUGCCACAAAGUAAUAGUUCUAAGCUUCUCUGCUGAUUGCCGCUGCAUUGGACAUCUGGGUGAACAAUGUCCUGGCAGAGCCAAGAGGCAACUCUGAUCAUCUGGGAGGAGGCAUACUGGAGCCUGCCUCCCACUCCCAGCCUACCCCAAUUUGGUUGUGUGAACGACCUUUGUGUCUCUAGAAGAAAGGAGGUCAGUUUCUUUCUGUGUACAGCCAACAUUUACCUGGAGCUCUCUGAUCAACAGGACCAGUUCCUCAGUGGUUGGAACAGAGUAGUAGCUUACUCUUCUAAAACAGUUUUGCAUAAGAUAAUGCAGCCAG